AACCAAAUGCUGAGCUUGGAGUUCCAGAGAAUCGUGUUCCAUCUGGCUCUAUAUCAGUCAGAGUCCGAAGAGGAAUACAGAAGCCACACUAGCCCUGUCUGACAAACAUGAGCUGGAGUAUCAUUAUGAUUUGGAUGCUUUCCAGAUUUGAAUAUCACUUUUCAGACCAUAAAAGGAGUGAUAGGAUCCUUGGCAAGUGGACUAGAACUGACUGAACCUCAGAAGGACUGCCUGUAUGCUGACUGAGGCACUGGGGAAAAGAAAGCAAGGAAAAGCAGAGCGAAUCUGUCAUAGAAUGGCUCGGAUUUUUCCAUAUACUAUCAAACUUAUGGGGGAAAAGCUCACACCAAGAUCAAGCAAUUAUCCUCAACACUAGGAGAAAGGAACCAAGAGGUUGCUGUGCCAAAUACGUGCCAGGCACUGUACAUGUGUGGUUUUGUUUUCUCAAGUUAACCCCAGGCGGCAAGCGUUUUAGCGCACGUUAUGGAUGGAAACCUGAGACUUAGAGAAUUUAAGUCACUUGACCAAACAGCCAUUCAGUGGCAGUUCUACUAGUCCAACAUAAAUCUGUCUGAUUCCAACACUCAGGUCCUUUCCUGUACCCUCUACUAUCUCUUUAUGAAGUCAGAAGUUG
rnacentral:lncRNA from 1 species